GUUCCCAAAGCUAAACGGUGCAGCGAAGUACUGUUAAUACUUAGACAAUUGGUUCGAUUCCAAUUGGGGACG